rnacentral:rRNA from 1 species
GACGAACGCUGGCGGCGUGCUUAAUACAUGCAAGUCUUAGGGGUUUACUCCCUUCGGGAGUAGAUCACUGGCGCACGGGUGAGUAACACGUAAGUAAUCUGCCUCCGGGUCGGGCAUAACACCGGGAAACCGGUGCUAAUUCCCGAUGACACUGCAAAGUCAAAGGCUUCGGCCGCCCGGAGAUGAGCUUGCGUCCGAUUAGCUAG